rnacentral:rRNA from 1 species
GAUGAACGCUGGCGGCGUGCUUAACACAUGCAAGUCGAACGAACCUUCGGGUUAGUGGCGGACGGGUGAGUAACGCGUGAGAAUCUGCCCUCAGGAGGGGGACACAGCUGGAAACGGCCCCGCUAAUACCCCAUAUGCCGCGAGGUGAAAUGAAUUUCGCCUGAGGAUGAGCUCGCGUCUGAUUAGCUAGUUGGUGGGGUAAAGGCCUACCAAGGCAUCGAUCAGUAGCUGGUCUGAGAGGAUGAUCAGCCACACUGGGACUGAGACACGGCCCAGACUCCUACGGGAGGCAGCAGUGGGGAAUUUUCCGCAAUGGGCGAAAGCCUGACGGAGCAACGCCGCGUGAGGGA